ensembl:lncRNA
UGACUGAUCCGAGGAAUUUUCUCUAAAGCUAAAAUCUUAGAUUUUGCUUAGCUGUUUGAUUUAGCAUCUCAACAUUUUUAUUAAUGAUAUUUUUGAUGCCUGAGAACAUGUUUGGUGUUUUAGUUUUUUACUGUAUCUAUUUUACAUACAGAAAGGAGUACAUAUAAAGUACACAGCUUGAUGUAUCUCUGCAAACAAGGCAGACUUUUGUAACCCCUCUGUUCAGUUCAGUUUGGUCACUCAGCCAUGUCUGACUCUUUGUGACCCCAUGGACUGCUGCACGCCAGGCCUCACAACAAGCUGGAAGGUAGGUUUAACUUUGUCUCUUGUGCAGAAAAUACAGGCUCUGAGAGUCUGGCCUCCAGGCUGGUCAGAGGGUGGGGGCUCAGAUCAGCUCCUGGCACUGUCUGCCCUCUUCCUACUGCCUUGCCCAUCUUCCUGCCUCUGCAUGACCUGCUCUCUGACCUUCUUGGAACUGAUGUACCCAAAGUGUGGUCCCCAAACAGUAGAUGAGUGGACAGAUGGAUGGAUGGGCAGGGAUGGAGGUGGCAAAGACAGCAAGUCUGUAUUUUCCUUCCCCAGCAGGUGUCCUUGGAGGACCUUAUGUCCAGCCAGGGACCCUGUAAACUUUUCUUGACAUCAGGCGGCAGACACUGUCCACUUCCCUGCUGAGAACUCCCUCAGUCCAUGGGGGGACCAGAGCCCAUGUAUAUCAAUUCUCAGGUAACAAACAGCUCUCAUAGCACUCACCAGGCCUCUACUGCAUCUCCACCAUCUGCAUCAGGCUGGUCCAUCACUGGACAUUAAAUAACGGCUUGGGAAUACGCUGACCAGUGAGAAGGAUGCAGUCACAGAGCUGGAGUGGAGUCCUGGAGGCCCUGCCAGAUCAAGAAUCAUCCUUUAGCAGACAGGUGGGGGGCUGGGGGCAUUGGAUGAGAUGCUGGGCAUCCUGGGGUGGGGGCUCUCUGAGGCUCAGGCAGCAACUGUAGAGAAGUAUUUCAAUGCUUUAAUAGCUUGUCUGGACACACCAGUGCAUCCUGAGUAACCAUCAGCCCUGCUUGGAGACCUCAGGAAGAAAAGCUCUAUUCUUUGCUCCCAGAGAAUUUGUGACAGAGCUAAUGAGACAGGGAAAGGGUCACAGCUGGAGAGAAUCAGUGCAUUGGUUCCACCUGGUCCAUCCACGUGCCUGUCCGCCCUCGUAAUGAACACAAGAUGGUCCCUGCCCACAGAAGUGCAUCAUUUACAGGAAGAGUGAAGCAGCUUAACCAAUAACCACAGUGUAAUCUCAUUUGGGUUGAUAUUCUUGAGUUCUAGGUCACUUUAGAAUAUCUUCAUGGGAAUUACCAAGCUUAGAGCCUUACAGAAACACUUUUGCUAACUCCCUGUGUUCCAGAUGAGGAGCCUGGGAUCCACAGAAGAGAAGUUAUACUCUGCAGGGUAGAGGACAGGUGGAGCCACACCUCCCUGCCCCCCCACAACACUGUCCCCUCAGUGCUCCCCAGGGACCACAUUUUGGCUCCAGUCCUGGAACGAGUAACUUCAAGAAGGUGGAGAAGCUGCUGAGAUGCUCACAGCUUGACAAAGGGACAGAUCACAAAACUAAAAAGGCAGCAACAGCAAGAAGGCAAAAGCAAGACCGUUGGGGCUACCUGUGUAGGGG